UGCCUUGUUAAAUAACAAUGCUAGCCUCUUUUCAUUUGCAGACGAUGUUUCCCGCAGGCUGCGUCUGCAGCUCGGUACGCUCCCCAGACAUGCGUGAAACGUACUGGCAAACACCUCGUAUCGGCUGCCUAUUCCAGUAAAGCAGGAAAAAUGAAGGUCGCCUUAGUAACCGUCCCACUUGUUGUCGUCGUGAUUGUUGUCACAGAAGUGCAGCUCGCUAACGCAAGAAGUACAUACAAUGCGGCCGGCAGCCGUGGACGGCAACAAGGGUCGAGUCCUUCGAGAACGGAACGGAAACCUACCGGAACAAGGAACUCACGAAAGCCAUCAGGGGUGCGGAAUCCGAGGGGACCUAGACGUCCCGUCAGAAAGCCAGGGGCACAAGUUUCAGCAGGUCGAAACAGACCAACACAUGGGAGGGGACGAGUCUCGAAGAAGCCUGCGAGGAAACCGGAAACUGGAAGUGAACACUCGCCCUCUGCGACCGGUAUGCAGCACCAUGGAAUGGAAACUAUGGGCGGUGGACACGGCGGUAACAUGGGAGUGAUGGGCGGAGGUAUGAUGGGUGGAGGUAUGAUGGGCGGAGGUAUGAUGGGCGGAGGAAUGAUGGGCGGAGGAAUGAUGGACCCAAUGAUGAUGGGGAGCGGUAUGAUGGGUGGGGGCAUGAUGGACACGUCUAUGAUGGGUGGAGGCAUGACGGACCCAGCAAUGACUGGACGGAACCAUGACAGACCAAACGAUGACGGACGGAGGCGUGACGGACCCAACGAUGAUGGGUGGAGGCAUGAUGGGCGGCAUGGGCUACGGCGCAUACGGUUUGCCAGGAAUAAUAGGCCAAAUAGGAAACUCGUUGACUAAUGCGGCGCUCCAGAUAAGGAAGGCGGUUGUCAGUUCAAAACCAAGUCCAGAUUUGGGUCGUCGCAUUGAGAGUUCGGGAACCGCAACUGAAACGGGUGCAAGUACGC
rnacentral:misc_RNA from 1 species